rnacentral:rRNA from 1 species
UCCUGGCUUAGGAUGAACGCUGGCGGCGUGCUUAACACAUGCAAGUCGAACGAAGCAACUAUCUUGCUUGCAAGAGAGUUGACUUAGUGGCGGACGGGUGAGUAACGCGUGGGUAACCUGCCUCAUACAGGGGGAUAACAGUUGGAAACGACUGCUAAGACCGCAUAACCCGCUAGUGUCGCAUGACACGGACGGAAAAUAUUUAUAGGUAUGAGAUGGGCCCGCGUCUGAUUAGCUAGUUGGUAAGGUAACGGCUUACCAAGGCGACGAUCAGUAGCCGACUUGAGAGAGUGAUCGGCCACAUUGGGACUGAGACACGGCCCAAACUCCUACGGGAGGCAGCAGUGGGGAAUAUUGGACAAUGGGGGAAACCCUGAUCCCAGCGACGCCGCGUGAGUGAAGAAGUAUUUCGGUAUGUAAAGCUCUGUCAGCAGGGAAGAUAAUGACAGUACCUGACUAAGAAGCCCCGGCUAACUACGUGCCAGCCGCGGC